UACGGGGGGUGCAAGCGUUGUUCGGAAUUAUUGGGCGUAAAGCGCGUGUAGACGGUUUGUUAAGUCUGAUGUGAAAGCCCUGGGCUCAACCCAGGAAGUGCAUUGGAUACUGGCAGACUUGAAUCCGGGAGAGGGUAGUGGAAUUCCUGGUGUAGGAGUGAAAUCCGUAGAUAUUAGGAGGAACACCGGUGGCGAAGGCGGCUGCCUGGACCGAUAUUGACGCUGAGACGCGAAAGCGUGGGUAGCAAACAGG
rnacentral:rRNA from 1 species